rnacentral:rRNA from 1 species
GACGAACGCUGGCGGCGUGCCUAAUACAUGCAAGUAGAACGCUGAAGGAGGAGCUUGCUUCUCCGGAUGAGUUGCGAACGGGUGAGUAACGCGUAGGUAACCUGCCUGGUAGCGGGGGAUAACUAUUGGAAACGAUAGCUAAUACCGCAUAAGAGUAGAUGUCGCAUGACAUUUGCUUAAAAGGUGCAACUGCACCACUACCAGAUGGACCUGCGUUGUAUUAGCUAGUUGGUGAGGUAACGGCUCACCAAGGCAACGAUACAUAGCCGACCUGAGAGGGUGAUCGGCCACACUGGGACUGAGACACGGCCCAGACUCCUACGGGAGGCAGCAGUAGGGAAUCUUCGGCAAUGGACGGAAGUCUGACCGAGCAACGCCGCGUGAGUGAAGAAGGUUUUCGGAUCGUAAAGCUCUGUUGUAAGAGAAGAACGAGUGUGAGAGUGGAAAGUUCACACUGUGACGGUAUCUUACCAGAAAGGGGCGGCUAACUACGUG